rnacentral:rRNA from 1 species
UACGGAGGGUGCAAGCGUUAUUCGGAAUUACUGGGCGUAAAGCGCACGCAGGCGGCUGAGCCAGUCGGUUGUGAAAGCCCUGGGCUUAACCUGGGAAUUGCAGUCGAUACUACUCAGCUAGAGUAUGGGAGAGGGUAGUGGAAUUCCCGGUGUAGCGGUGAAAUGCGUAGAUAUCGGGAGGAACAUCAGUGGCGAAGGCGGCUACCUGGCCCAAUACUGACGCUGAGGCGCGAAAGCUAGGGGAGCAAACGGG